rnacentral:lncRNA from 1 species
UUAAUGUCGAAUGUUGAAUUCAGAUUUAUAAAGCUUUAUCACCACAACAGAAUUAGAUUAUAGGAAUACGUUUUUAGGACACUUUUAUGUAAAUAUUUUAUUUAUGCCAAAAAAUUUUAAAAAAAUCUAUUAAGUCCUAAAUAUAAAAUCCAAUCUAAUCAAAAAUAAAAAGUUAUACUACUCAACCAAUCCUACCGAGCCCACACGGUUCAAAUACAAAUAAAAAAGAAAAAAUAAUGAUCACCAUCUCUCUUUCUCUCCUUCGCUCCCGCAGCCGACAACGU